rnacentral:rRNA from 1 species
GAUGAACGCUGGCGGCGUGCUUAACACAUGCAAGUCGAACGAAGCAUUUAAGACAGAUUACUUCGGUUUGAAGUCUUUUAUGACUGAGUGGCGGACGGGUGAGUAACGCGUGGGUAACCUGCCUCAUACAGGGGGAUAGCAGCUGGAAACGGCUGGUAAUACCGCAUAAGCGCACAGUACCACAUGGUACAGUGUGAAAAACUCCGGUGGUAUGAGAUGGACCCGCGUCUGAUUAGCUUGUUGGCGGGGUAACGGCCCACCAAGGCGACGAUCAGUAGCCGACCUGAGAGGGUGACCGGCCACAUUGGGACUGAGACACGGCCCAGACUCCUACGGGAGGCAGCAGUGGGGAAUAUUGCACAAUGGAGGAAACUCUGAUGCAGCGACGCCGCGUGAGUGAAGAAGUAGUUCGCUAUGUAAAGCUCUAUCAGCAGGGAAGAUAGUGACGGUACCUGACUAAGAAGCGCCGGCUAAAUACGUG